AGAUAAUGCAAGAAAGGCAGAAAAUAUUUGUUUUGAACAUGCAAAUAUUAAAGGAGAUAAAUUUGGAAAUUGUGGACCUGCACCCGGUGGAUCAGGAUACUUAAAAUGUAGCUUGGCAAACUCUAUGUGUGGGAAGGUGCAGUGCACCAAUGUGGAUGUAAAUACGCCCCCUACUGGUGCCCAUGUCAGCAUCCAACAAAUUCAAGGAGCCACUUGUGUUAACGCAGACUUUGACCUGGGCAGUGAUGUACUCGAUCCUGCCUACGUUAACCCCGGCAGCCCUUGUGCUACAGGAAAGACCUGUGUGGACUUCAAGUGCAUGAAUGCUUCGGUUCUGUUGCCAAAUUUAGACUGUGAUGCCAAGACUACUUGCAAUGGUCACGGGGUUAGUAAGGA